rfam:Virgibacillus necropolis strain LMG 19488 chromosome, complete genome.
CCGUGCUAGGUGGGGAGGUAGCGGUGCCCUGUACUCGCAAUCCGCUAUAGCGGGACUGAAUUCCUAUCUGAGGUGUAAUGACAUUAUGGUCUGCCGUAAGGAAUUGGUGUUGACGCUCAGGUCCUGCGCAAUGGAAACUCAUGAAGUCUGUCAGGUCCGGAAGGAAGCAGCAGUAAGUGAUCAUUUCUGUGUGCCGCAGGGAAGCCUAGGCCGAGCCAUGAACUUACGUAACGCAUAGGGUCGUUACAUCGAUGGUAGGUGCACGG